rnacentral:rRNA from 1 species
UCCGUAGGUGAACCUGCGGAAGGAUCAUUACUGAAGGAAAAGGGUGGCAAAGCUGUUGCUGGCUCAGAGGAGCAUGUGCACGCCUUUUGCUGCUUGUUUCAUUCUCUUUCCACCUGUGCACUUUUUGUAGAUAGUCGGGAUGGGGGGAGAGGUCUGUGGACCUAUUCCUGAUAUUUUAAAGUCCGGUUGUCUAUGGAUUUUUUGGACAUACACAUUUGAAUGUCUAUAGAAUGAGAUUGUAGGCUUUGUGAGCCCUUUAAAUGAUAAAGUACAACUUUCAACAACGGAUCUCUUGGCUCUCGCAUCGAUGAAGAACGCAGCGAAAUGCGGUAAGUAAUGUGAAUUGCAGAAUUCAGUGGAUCAUCGAAUCUUUGAACGCAUCUUGCGCUCCUUGGUAUUCCGAGGAGCAUGCCUGUUUGAGUGUCAUUAAAUAUCUCAAAGAGUUUUAUGCCUUGGCAUGGGAUUAUUUUGGACAAUUGGGAGUUGCCGGCUGCUGAUGAAAGCAGUGGGCUCUUCUGAAAAGCAUUAGUUGGAGGAAGCUUUGCACUCUAUUGGUGUGAUAGACUAUCUAUGCCAGGAGAUGCAUUUAUUGAUCUCUGCUGUCUAACUGUCAUCAUUGGACAAUGUAAUGAAGUUGACCUCAAAUCAGGUAGGACUACCCGCUGAACUUAAGCAUAUCAAUAAGCGGAGGA